CAGAGAUAAGACGUUAUACUAUAUACGCAAGAGAGAAGAAGCGAAUCGACGAAGAAGAAGAUAGACAGAGAGAAGAGCAAAAGGGAGCAGCUUACGGAACGGCAUGUCCUCGUGUGUUCGUGUCGUAGAGCGUUUCUGAACGCAGCCAUUACGACACAACCGCUCUCGGUGACGCUUUGCUGCGGUAGAGCCGUGCUCACGCGCGCAGUGGUCACGGAACGAUCGGAACGGAACACACGUGUUUUCGGAAAUUCGAACGAGAUUUCGGUAAACGAAAUUUAUUCAGUGAUAGAUAUAUCGGGAGGCCCAGGGACGCUUCUUGACGCGCGGCGUCACGUCGCGCGGGUCAUCAACAACCCGAGUGUCCGGUUUGAUUGGUACAUAGUAAAGUAAAACUCGCGAUUGGGAUAAAUCGCUCGAUUUCUCUCUUGUAGUACCUGUUCGAAGGAAAAUAACCAACC
rnacentral:misc_RNA from 1 species